CAUCUUUGAGCAGCAUGAGUUAAGCUUCAGUGCAAAGGACUAAAACUGAAAUUAGUCUCAAGACCUUAAAAUAAUCAAGCCUAGGAUGUCUACUUUUCUGCAAAAGCAAAUGUUUUACUUUGAAUAUCUUCUCUGGGAAUCAGUUUUAAUCAAUUUCCUGUAGUUGUGUUCUCUUACGAGCAAAAGGAGCUGAUACUGCAGCCCUUGGGUAGUUGUGGGCUAGGGAGUAGUGUACAGACAAGGUUCUGGUAGAAUGUUGACUUGAUAUGAGAUAAUGAUGGAUGUAAUGUUCCAGGGGUACGGACGCUUCUCCUGAAUGCGAAUUUCCUCUAGGUUGUCAGGUGCUUUCUUGUUUUCAGUACAUCAUUGCCCUUCAAUUGUGCUCUGUCAGUAGACACCACAAGAAGGAAGAAAGUUCAGAAUUGUCACUGCUGUUCAGAUGGAAGCUGAAAUCUUCAUGUUACCACUGGUCUUCAUCCACUGAGGCUGAUAGUGAAAUACCAAGUGUUGGAAGAUUCCUGGAAAAGUUUUACACGAUGGCAAAAGGACAUCAGAAGCAUCAGAAGACUGUUGGGAAGAUCCCAGGGAGAAUACUGGAAGAAAGGUUUCUGUGCUGCAUAUUGUUUCUCCCUACACAAAGAUUUCUGAGAUUGUAUAAUCUCAGACCUCUCUUACUAGGACAGCGGACUUCUCUUGUUUGGUAUCUAGCCUUGUCUGGGAGUCCACCUUAUUUCUCAGGAGAUAAAGAACAUUAGCCACUCCUGGUGAAGAUGAUUGAAACUUAUUUGGGGCAAGCACAGUUAGGGCCUGUGCUGUCACUACAGUUGUUUUGCCUCAGUAUUUGCUAUGCUUUUUUUUACAUUUUGAUACAAAACUUUAGUUUCUUAUCCAGUUCAUAAGGGUAGAGAUAAAGUGGAAUCCUGCUGUGAAAAUGAUACAAGCAAUUAACAUGCAAAAAAAGAAAUACCUCUUCAUUUCAUCAUUCAUGUUGUGUACUCGAGACACCAGUGGUGUUCACUGUUCUUGUUGCCAUUGGUGCUCACAGCAGUGUGACAAUGUGUCAGGCUCUGGCUUGAGACUGUUUCCAGGACUUUUUUCUUUGUUUUUCCCCCUCUCUGAAGCUUUCGUUAUUGUUAGUUUUGAAAUGGUGAUAGUUGAAAAGUCAACAAGCAUUGUCAGUAACUGUCAGUACGGUGUCUGAUGGGUGUCUGUAUCCCAAGUACCCGCUGAGGGCUGACCCAGCCCUUCAGGCUGCUUUUGGGGACAGCCCUGGCUCUGCUGUGAAGUGUUUGCUAUAGGAGCUGUGCUGUGUUCUUUGGGAACUGACAUCACCUCGAGUCGCUGCAGUGACAGCCCCGGGCCCUACGCGUGCAUCUUCCUAUGCAGCUGUUUCCUUUCACGGUACUCGGUCAUUAUCCAAACUGCUGUUUUUAUUUGGUGGUCUAAACGUAGUGUACAACGAAAAUAUACUGUUGCUUGCCUUUAUUUAAAAUGCAGUGGUGUUG
ensembl:lncRNA